UGAGUAAUGCCUAGGAAUCUGCCUAGUAGUGGGGGAUAACUUGCCGAAAGGUAAGCUAAUACCGCAUACGUCCUACGGGAGAAAGCAGGGGACCUUCGGGCCUUGCGCUAUUAGAUGAGCCUAGGUCGGAUUAGUUAGUUGGUGAGGUAAUGGCUCACCAAGACAGCGAUCCGUAACUGGUCUGAGAGGAUGAUCAGUCACACUGGAACUGAGACACGGUCCAGACUCCUACGGGAGGCAGCAGUGGGGAAUAUUGGACAAUGGGGGGAACCCUGAUCCAGCCAUGCCGCGUGUGUGAAGAAGGUCUUAGGAUUGUAAAGCACUUUAAGUUGGGAGGAAGGGCAGUUAACUAAUAUUUGACUGUUUUGACGUUACCGACAGAAUAAGCACCGGCUAACUUCGUGCCAGCAGCCGCGGUAAUACGAAGGGUGCAAGCGUUAAUCGGAAUUACUGGGCGUAAAGCGCGCGUAGGUGGUUCGUUAAGUUAGGAGUGAA
rnacentral:rRNA from 1 species